UGGCGGAGGCUACCAUGCAUGUCGAACGGUACAGGAAGCAGCUUGCUGCUUGCUGACGAGUUCGGACGGGUGAGUAAUGUCUGGGAAACUGCCUGAUGGAGGGGGAUAACUACUGGAAACGGUAGCUAAUACCGCAUAACGUCGCAAGACCAAAGAGGGGGACCUUCGGGCCUCUUGCCAUCGGAUGUGCCCAGAUGGGAUUAGCUAGUAGGUGGGGUAACGGCUCACCUAGGCGACGAUCCCUAGCUGGUCUGAGAGGAUGACCAGCCACACUGGAACUGAGACACGGUCCAGACUCCUACGGGAGGCAGCAGUGGGGAAUAUUGCACAAUGGGCGCAAGCCUGAUGCAGCCAUGCCGC
rnacentral:rRNA from 1 species